GGUAAUCUAGUAUAUUAUUGGUACACAACAAUACAAUUUAUGUUGCAUUGAGUCUUUUUAAAUCAAUUUCUAAUUGCCUUUUAUCUCUGAUGGACCAAUAGGAGAAAUGUAGAAAAAAUGCUAUAAAUCGAUCAAAACAACUAUAUACCCACACUGGCAGUUCGAAAAGCUUCGCACGGUGGAGGGAAGAAGAGUCGAAACAACAAGGAAGGAGAGUCGGUAGAGGAGAGUUAUGGAUCACAGUGCACAAAAAAAAGAUGGCUCUUAUAUCAAUGAUGAAGCAAGAGCAAUUGGUGAAAGACUUAAGGAGAUUGAGCAACUGGAUGAGUCUUCUAGAGUGUUGUCUCAAAAUGAUUCCAUUGCUCAAGUUCUCGGAAAAGAAAAACCAGGUAGAGUGCAUGGUGUGGGUUCCGAACUGACUCCUAAUCAACUCUUCGAUCUGAAUUUGCAUCUGUCGGGCAACAAAGUCCAAGUAAAGGAGACCCAAAGGAAGCUGCUUAAACUAUAGGCAGAGUUGGAAGCCGAGAAGUUGAAAAGGAAGGCGAUGGAGGAUGAAGCAGCAUCAGAGAAGAAAAAGAG